ensembl:snRNA U6 U6 spliceosomal RNA
GUCCUUGUCUCAGGAGCACGUUUACCAAAACUGGAAUGAUAUAAAGAAGAUUAAUAUGGCCCCGGGCAAGGAUGACACACAAAUUCAUGAAGCAUUCCAAAUUUAA